AGCUAUGAGCUACCACAUAAGAAGUCCAACAUCCUGAGGCUACCAUGCUGUGAGGAAGCCCAGGCCACUAGAAGAGGCCAUGUGUAGGUGUUCCAGCUGGCAAUCCUACUGAGAUCUGAGUAGACAGCCUGCAGCAAUCACUAGAUAUGAAAGUAAAGAUGCUCUCUGAUGAUUUCAGGCCUGAUCUUAGAGCCUUCCAUGUCAAGGUUUCAGUUAUCGAGGAGCAGAAGCAGACCUGUUGUGCCAUGUCCAAAUUUCUGAUCCACAGAAUCAGGUGCAUCUCGGUGGAGCCAAGACAAAAUUCCAGGUGUCCCAGCUGUUACAGAUAUAAGGCCCCCUUCCAGUGAAUAUCACUCCUGUGACAGUGUGGUGGGGUUGGGGAUGGAGAAGGAGCACUUGAGUUUGCUUCUCUAGAUGCUGCACUUCAUAAUCCCUAGGACAGCAUGAGCUGGAGUCAGUGCCCGAGCCUUGGGAGUGUCUCCCACCUAAACUACCAGUACACAUGGGGACAGAUGUCUUCAGAGACCUGGGGUCUCCCAAAGGCCCUGGGGUGUGGACUGCCUGAGAGGCCGGCUCCCUGGUAGAGACAGGCUUCUUGGGAAUGGGCACCUGGCAAAUUUUGUGAGAUGCCAAGUGUUAACCCAAACCAAUAUGGAUAUUUUCCCUAAACACAUUGCUAGACAGACUGUAAACUUGGUGUCAGCAAAACCAACACUGGAAUGGAAAACAAAUGCAUUUGAAAUUUAACAACUUGUAUUGCUGGAACAUUUGUAAUAAUGUCAAUGCCGGUGCUAAUGAUGCUAUGAAGACUCAGAACCAAGGGGCUUUCAAGGUUUAUUAAUUCAACUAGUUGGACUCCCUUUUCCAAUGUAUCUUACCUCACCUAUUCCCUUAUUAACCUCUGAUAAUGCAGAAGUGAUGCCUUUUAUCACACCCCAUUUCACCAGACGCACUAUACUUAAUUUCCCAUCAUUAGGUUUAAUGAAAACCCAAUUUCACAACUCACUUCUCUCAGGAACCUACAAGUAAUGCUACGUUUUUAUCAGCCCCAAUUAAAAAACGUUAUGAUGUUCCUA